GCUGCGGAGCGCAGUUUUGGUAUCGCGAAAUUGAGCGAGAUUACGGAAGCCGGGAGGAUUGGGGCAACAUUUUCCGGAGUUUAGGGCCGGUUGUGGCUCUGAGCGAGGCGCUUCUAAGUGCCAGUGUCAGGAAGAGAACCCUGAACGGUCACAAAGUUUCUUACCUUGGAGUUAUCGCUGGGUCUGAGAAAUUCAAAGCACCCACCAACAAGGAGAGAGUGGCUUCUGUGUUUGCUUCGCGGCUGCGACCGGUGCACGAAGCGUGGCGGUGGCUGCGAAGGGCGCACGAAGUGCAGCAGAGAGGAGCUACCCCAUGUCCGAGGUCAGGAGCAGAAGCUGGGAGGACCCCAUGCCCAAAGGGCGGCAGCCAAGAGGAGUUACCCCACGUCCAAGGUCAGGGGCAGCGGCCGAGAGUGCCAGGCUACGGCGGUGCAGGAACGGCCGAGAAGAGCUACUCAAGUCUGGGGUCAGGAGCAGCGGCCGGGAGGAGCUACCCCGCGUCUGAGGUCAGGGGCGGCGUGGCGGUGGCCUGGAGGAGCUACCCCAUGCCCCUAUGCACGAGACCAGGGGCGGUGGCCAGGAGGACCAACCCCACGUCCAAGGAGCGGUGGCUACACGGGCACAAGAGGGCCGAGAGGAGCUACUCCACGUUCAAGGUCAGGAGGGGUGCCGGUGAGGAGAUACCCCUCGUCCAAGGUAAGGAGCAGCGGCUGCACUUUGCUGGAGCAGCUGUGAAGAGAUACCCCACGUCCAAGGUAAGAGAAACACAAGUGAGAUGGUAGGUGUUGCGAGAGGGCAUCAGAGGG
rnacentral:lncRNA from 1 species